rnacentral:rRNA from 1 species
AUGAACGCUGGCGGCGUGCCUAAUACAUGCCAGUCGAGCGCACAGAUAAGGAGCUUGCUCCUUUGACGUUAGCGGCGGACGGGUGAGUAACACGUGGGUAACCUACCUAUAAGACUGGGAUAACUUCGGGAAACCGGAGCUAAUACCGGAUAACAUUUGGAACCGCAUGGUUCUAAGUGAAAGAUGGGUUUUGUAUCAAUUAUAGAUGGACCCGCGCCGUAUUAGCUAGUUGGUAAGGUAACGGCUUACCAAGGCAACGAUACGUAGCCGACCUGAGAGGGUGAUCGGCCACACUGGAACUGAGACACGGUCCAGACUCCUACGGGAGGCAGCAGUAGGGAAUCUUCCGCAAUGGGCGAAAGCCUGACGGAGCAACGCCGCGUGAGUGAUGAAGGGUUUCGGCUCGUAAAACUCUGUUAUUAGGGAAGAACAAAUGUGUAAGUAACUGUGCACGUCUUGACGGGACCUAAGCAGAAAGCCACGGCUAACUACGU